UACGUAGGGACCAAGCGUUGUUCGGAUUUACUGGGCGUAAAGGGCACGUAGGCGGCUUGACAAGUCACUUGUGAAAUCUCCGGGCUUAACUCGGAACGGCCAAGUGAAACUGUCAUGCUAGAGUGCAGAAGGGGCAAUCGGAAUUCUUGGUGUAGCGGUGAAAUGCGUAGAUAUCAAGAGGAACACCUGAGGUGAAGACGGGUUGCUGGGCUGGCACUGACGCUGAGGCGCGAAAGCCAGGGGAGCAAACGGG
rnacentral:rRNA from 1 species